UACGGAGGGUGCAAGCGUUAUCCGGAUUCACUGGGUUUAAAGGGUGCGUAGGCGGACAGGUAAGUCAGUGGUGAAAUCUCCGAGCUUAACUCGGAAACUGCCUUUGAUACUCUCUGUCUUGAAUAUGGUGGAGGUAAGCGGAAUAUGUCAUGUAGCGGUGAAAUGCUUAGAGAUGACAUAGAACACCUAUUGCGAAGGCAGCUUACUACGCCUAUAUUGACGCUCAUGCACGAAAGCGUGGGGAUCAAACAGG
rnacentral:rRNA from 1 species